rnacentral:rRNA from 1 species
GGAGGAUCCAAGCGUUAUCCGGAAUCAUUGGGUUUAAAGGGUCCGUAGGCGGUUUAGUAAGUCAGUGGUGAAAGCCCAUCGCUCAACGGUGGAACGGCCAUUGAUACUGCUAGACUUGAAUUAUUAGGAAGUAACUAGAAUAUGUAGUGUAGCGGUGAAAUGCUUAGAGAUUACAUGGAAUACCAAUUGCGAAGGCAGGUUACUACUAAUGGAUUGACGCUGAUGGACGAAAGCGUGGGUAGCGAAC